AAAGUACGGGGCUAACACAGUGUGGUCAAAUAAAACCAAUGAAUUUUUUGUCUACGACAAUGAACUUAGCACGGCCUACUACAAAAGAAUAGACACGAAACUUUCCUUUCAUUUUGAUAAGCUGGUUAGCAACAACCAAGUAAUUUACACGGAUCAGAAAACAUGUAUACUUAUGAAGUCGGAAGAACUUGGCCACCAAGUCUGGGUGCAGACGGACUACUUACUAAAGUACAAAAAGAUACCUUAUAUGUGUACCCUGUUAUACGAAGCCUGCGCUGGAAGGAAAAAAAAUUGGGCGUAUGAUUGGAACUUUUGUCCCCAUAACGGUCACUGUUCAAAACCGGACAACAAGAACUCUUAGGUAGCAAUCAUUUUGAUUGCUACCUAUAGCAAUUCAAAAUCAUAUACCUUCGUAAUGAACGCCAGUAA